rnacentral:rRNA from 1 species
UACGAGGGGGGCAAGCGUUGUUCGGAUUUAUUGGGCGUAAAGGGUGCGUAGGCGGUCUGGCAAGUCUUGUGUGAAAUCUUCGGGCUCAACCCGAAGUCUGCACAAGAAACUGCCGGGCUUGAGUAUGGGAGAGGUGAGUGGAAUUUCCGGUGUAGCGGUGAAAUGCGUAGAUAUCGGAAGGAACACCUGUGGCGAAAGCGGCUCACUGGACCAUAACUGACGCUGAGGGACGAAAGCUAGGGGAGCAAACAGG